AGGGUUCGAUUCUGGCUCAGGAUGAACGCUAGCUACAGGCUUAACACAUGCAAGUCGAGGGGCAGCAUAAUCGAAGCUUGCUUUGAUUGAUGGCGACCGGCGCACGGGUGAGUAACGCGUAUCCAACCUUCCCCUUAGUAGGGCAUAGCCCGGCGAAAGUCGGAUUAAUACCCUAUGUUAUCCGUCGAGGGCAUCUGAAGUGGAUUAAAGAUUUAUCGCUAAGGGAUGGGGAUGCGUCUGAUUAGGUUGUUGGCGGGGUAACGGCCCACCAAGCCUACGAUCAGUAGGGGUUCUGAGAGGAAGGUCCCCCACAUUGGUACUGAGACACGGACCAAACUCCUACGGGAGGCAGCAGUGAGGAAUAUUGGUCAAUGGGCGAGAGCCUGAACCAGCCAAGUAGCCGUGCAGGAUGACGGCCCUAUGGGUUGUAAACUGCUUUUGCAUGGGAAUAAAGUCGGGGACGUGUCCCCGUUUGUAUGUACCAUGAGAAUAAGGACCGGCUAAUUCCGUGCCAGCCGCCGC
rnacentral:rRNA from 1 species